rnacentral:rRNA from 1 species
UCCUGGCUCAGAGUGAACGCUGGCGGUAGGCCUAACACAUGCAAGUCGAACGGCAGCACAGGAGAGCUUGCUCUCUGGGUGGCGAGUGGCGGACGGGUGAGGAAUACAUCGGAAUCUACUUUUUCGUGGGGGAUAACGUAGGGAAACUUACGCUAAUACCGCAUACGACCUACGGGUGAAAGCAGGGGAUCUUCGGACCUUGCGCGAUUGAAUGAGCCGAUGUCGGAUUAGCUAGUUGGCGGGGUAAAGGCCCACCAAGGCGACGAUCCGUAGCUGGUCUGAGAGGAUGAUCAGCCACACUGGAACUGAGACACGGUCCAGACUCCUACGGGAGGCAGCAGUGGGGAAUAUUGGACAAUGGGCGCAAGCCUGAUCCAGCCAUACCGCGUGGGUGAAGAAGGCCUUCGGGUUGUAAAGCCCUUUUG